rnacentral:piRNA from 1 species
UGGGAUGCCAUGACACACGGGUGAGAGU